rnacentral:rRNA from 1 species
UACGUAGGGUGCGAGCGUUGCCCGGAUUUACUGGGCGUAAAGAGCGCGCAGGCGGUCGUGCAAGUCGCGUGUGAAAGCCCCCGGCUCAACUGGGGAGGGUCACGCGAUACUGCUCGACUCGAAGGCAGGAGAGGGAAGUGGAAUUCCCGGUGUAGUGGUGAAAUGCGUAGAUAUCGGGAGGAACACCAGUGGCGAAGGCGACUUCCUGGCCUGUUCUUGACGCUGAGGCGCGAAAGCUAGGGUAGCAAACGGG